CAAAAAUAGGAGUUCCUUGCAGCCCAAAGCACCAAAGCGAGAGAACUACUGUCAAGUUCUGUUUUGGACUGAAUGGAGCUCCCAGUUCUU
rnacentral:pre_miRNA from 1 species